AUGGCUAUGAGCUGCUGCUGGGGCCACCGAGUGCUUCCCUGCUCGGAACUGGUGACCACUGUGAGCCGUGGUGUCUUUCCAGUACUGAGGAAAUGGAUUGGCUGCAAAGGCCCCGGAAAAAAAAGUGUAUAGCCUUGGUGGGGCAAUGCAGUUUUGGAGUAUCUGGAGAGGCUGCUGGCUGUGAGGCCAGAAUUUCGUGCUCAUAUGGAGAAUGAGAGAACCACCACCACAAUCAAGACCUAGGACAGGAGAAUGAAAUGAAAACCCUGUAGUCCAAGGCAACUUUGUGGAUCAGGCGCUGUGGGCUGAAUCCUGGAGAAGGACAAGUCCAAGGUUACCUCACUGUCAAGAGAUGGCUGCUGGAGCUCUACCCAUCACUUUUGCCUUGUAGACAGCAGGAAGAAGGAAAGGAGAAUGUCACGCUGUGAAUACUUAUCAUCUCAGCAGAAACACAUGGGGACGAUGGCAUCUUCCAGGGCCUGCAGGGAUGCUCUCUCUCCCAGAGCCAUGUCACGCCUCCCAGGCCUCC